UACGGAGGGUGCAAGCGUUAUCCGGAUUUAUUGGGCGUAAAGAGCGUGUAGGCGGCUUGGUAGGUCCGCUGUGAAAACUCGAGGCUCAACCUCGAGACGCCGGUGGAAACCAUCAGGCUAGAGUCCGGAAGAGGAGAGUGGGAUUCCUGGUGUAGCGGUGAAAUGCGCAGAUAUCAGGAAGAACACCAAUGGCGAAGGCAGCUCUCUGGGACGGUACUGACGCUGAGACGCGAAAGCGUGGGGAGCGAACAGG
rnacentral:rRNA from 1 species